AAAAUAAUAAUAGCCAACCAUUUUGGGAAGAUCCCCUUGGUCCCAGAAUCUGUGAUAUAUUCUUGACAUCCAUUUGAUCUUCAUGGAAGGCUGUGAUAGAGAGAUAUUACUCCCAAUUUUUAAAAGAGGGAAAAAUGAAGGUCAGAAAAGGUUAAAUGACUUUCUCAAGGUUGAACAGCUAGAAAUAUGUGGGACUUUCCCAAAGUCCAUACACUUAACCCUAAUAUUCUCUAGUUUGCCAUGAUACUAAUAUCACAUACACACAUGCACAUGCACACACAGUUGCAUGGUUAAUACUGAGUUAAACAAUGUAUUUCAGAGUUACCUACUGUUAGAAUUUCUCAGAGCCUUUAUUGUGACAAUGCGCAUUGUGAACCUAUGAGAGAGGAAAAGUGCUCCCAAUUUCCCAAGCCCAUUUGACAACAAAUUCUUUUCAUCAAAGACAUUUUUAUGAAACCAGUUCCCUUUAAAAUAAAACACACUUAUGGAAAUGAUGUUCUUUAAAGACUACUUCUCUGAUGUAGAAGAAGCAAUAUUUUCAUAUCGGGCCAAAUUAGUAUGCUGAAAAUAUUCAUGCGCAUCAAACUUGGCCAACUUUGUAUAUAUUCCUUUUCUUUUAUUCUCAAUGAAAAGAAAUCCCCUCACUGCCUUGGGCAUUACUUAUUUUCAUUAAUGCAUUUCUCAGAAAUCACCAUGAACUUGCAAAGUGACUUCUUUGGGAACUAUAAACUCUCCUGAUUUUUUAAAAACAUAUUUUUAUUGAUUUCAGAAAGGAAAGGAGAGGGAGAGAGAGAUGGAAACAUCAAUGAUGAGCGCGAAUCAUUGAUUGGUUGCCUCCUGCAUGCCCCACAUUGGGGAUUGAGCCUGCAACCCGGGCAUAUGCCCUGACCAGGAAUUGAACCUGGUCAAGGCUGUACAGCUAGAAAUACAGCUAGGUCGAUGCUCAACCACUGAGCCACGCUGUCCAGGCUCUCCUGAAUGUUAACUCUUUAUAACCAUCUGUGCAAAACUACAGGGACUAGCCACAUUUGGCUAUUUAAGCUUAAACUAGUUCAAAUUAUAUUAAUAAAAAAUGUAGUUUCUUAAUUGCACUAUCCACAUCCCAAAUGCUGAAUAGCCACAUGUAGCUGGUGGUUACUGUAUUGGACAGUGCAGAUAUAGAACAUUUCCAUAGUCAACGAAAGUUCUAUUGGACAGAACUACUCUAGAAUCUAGUCUGGGAGGAUGGGGUAAGGGUGGGAAAGUAGUGAGCAAAACUAACCAACAGUGAAAUAAGAUCCAGUUAGCCAUAGAAACCAAAGGUGACCCUGAAUCAUAGAGAACAAAAAAAUAAAGACCCAAAGCAAAUAUCUCUGUGUUUGCUGGAAUGGUGACAGCAUCUACCAGUGCAAACAAGUUUGAUGCUGUCAGUGGAGUCUUGGUGUGGGAGGAUUUGAUUAUUCUUAUCUCCAAACCCCACAAAUACCCUACAGUCAUUAAUAUGAAUGUUCCUUCCAAGGAGGUGGCUUUCAGGUUGAGAAUACUGGCAGUGGGGGGGAGAUCAUGAAAUGGUAAGGGAAAGGCAAGAUCCCCAAAUAGGAAUGGCUGGCACUGCCCACUCUCUGCUCCAAAAGGCAGUAGUACCAUUUUCUUCCUUCUUUUUAAGACCACCUUCCUGAAUAAGUAGUUCACCCAUAGGCAACCUAUUUCCCUAUAAGUCAGUUGUUGUCUAUCACAAUCUGGCUUCUGUUCACAUCAACGCACUGAAAAUGCCCUUAAAGGACAUAGUCAAAUUCAUCCUGGCCUCCGGGACUUUGCUUUAGUGGUUCCUUCUUUCUAAAAUGCACUUUGUAUCUUUAUGAGGCUGGCUCCUUCCAGUCAUGUGGGUCUCAGUUCAAGAAGUCGCCUUUGCUAACUGAUCACACUGGCUCCAGUGGCUCACCUGCCUCCCAUCACUUCCCAGUGCAUUAUCUUCCUUUUAUCUUCUUCUCAGAACUUACACUGUCUGAAAUUACUGAAAUUAUAUUUUUAAUUUAUUAGUUUACUUUUCUAGUAUUUUACUUUUCCUGCCAAAUAGUAAGCUCCAGGGGAGCGGGGACCGAAUCUGCCAUGUGCACCAACAUAUUCCUAGAGCUAGGAGGUGCCUAACGUAUGUAUGUGACUCCAUAAAUAUUUGUUGAAUUAAAUAUAUUCAGAUUCCAAAACCUUUUAUUUGACUUUAUGAUUUUUGACACAGGUGACCCGCUCUCUACUUUUGGAAAAGAUCUAUUCCCUUGUUUUCUGUAAUAGUUUUCUUCUUCUGCUUUCCUGAGUACUCACUCUUCAGUUCUUAUUCUCCCCAUCCUUCUAACUGUGUGUGCUUCCCAAGAUUAAAUCUCAGCUCUCCUCUCUCUUUACAUGAUCUGCCCAAAGCUUAGCCCCUUGAACGCUCAGUUCAGAGAUGUCAUAAGGAUACAGGUAGAUACAGGUUGUUUUCUUUCUGGUCCUGGCUUCAGACUGUGAACAUGUCACUCAAAUUCUCUAUUCUUUAGUUUCUUCACCUUUUAGAUGGAGACAAAUACCAACUUCCUAUUGGUAUUGUGGGAAUGGAGUGGAGAGAUUCAAAUAUUUAAUAAUUCUAUAAUUUAUGGAUGGUUUAUACAUAAAGGCACUGUGCUAAGCACUUCGCUUUUUUUUUUUUUUUUUUUUUUUUACUUUUAAUGCUCAUUCUAACCCCAUGAGACAGUUACUACUGUUAUCUCCAUUUUGCAGAUGAGGAAACUGAGGUUCACAGAGGUAGAGACUCUUGCUUGAACUCACCUUCCUGGUAUGGGUCUGAGCUGAGAUUUGAACUGCUGUCUGGCUGAGAACAGAGUUUGGGUCUUUAUCAUGAUACUCUAUUGUCUUUUUUGGACAGUGUUAUGAAAAGAAUGAGGCACUGAAUGAAGUAAAGGAAUCAUUACUAAAUUUGUGACAACUCAAAGAGAAGUAUUUAGAGUGGUUAGUCUGGGAGCACAAUGAUACCUAGCCAACAGGGGUGUUUUCAAGCCAUUUUACCCUGAGUUAAAGUCAUACCUGAUCGUUUCUAACCAGGGACUAAAAUUCAAAGAGGAUUUGGUGUCUGAUCCAAAUACUUUUUAGUCUAAGAGAUGCUCAUUUGGUGCAAACUCCCAUCAUAAGAGCACAGAGAGCUCAAUGCACAGACUCCAGGUCACCCAGGCUCUUAGCUAGGAGGGGAGCUCCCGUUCAUGCAUCCUUUCAUCCACAUGUGAGCUUUUUGAGUCCUGUGUUUCUCAUAAUCACAUGGAUCUUCCAUCACCAACAUAGAGACAUCCCCAAAAAGGGUCCUUUUCCUCCUGGCCUUCCUGGUGACGCCCUGCAACCUUCUUAGGCUGAUUCUUCUAAUCCAGCCAACAUCAACUCCCAUCUGGGUCCCAGACAUGUCUGGGAGAAAAAAUUGUACAUCCUAGAUGUUAGUGGAAGCAGGUGUGGAGCCAGAAAGAACAAGGCGAGAGCUGCUGAGAAAUGAUGCAUGCAGAGGUCCGUAGCAGUGCUAAGGAAGGAGCACAUGAGAGUGUGUAUCUGGCAAAAGAUCCCAUUAAGCAUCAAAUCAUCAGCUCUCUGACGUCUUUGCGCUGCUUCAUUGAGCACGUCUGUGUGUGUGUGUGUGCACGCACGCACGUGUGCACGCGGUUGUGUGCAUGCCUGUCCUCUCUCUGCCCUGCUCUCUGUGUCUCAUUCAGUGUCCAGGUUUCUUUCUCAUACCCUUCCUUCCCCUUACUCAGACUCCCAGUCCCUUUCAGACUCCCUUUUUCUUCAAACCCGUCUUUCCAGGUUGCUGAAAGACAGAACUGACAAGAGGACAGUCCCGGACCAGGAAUGGUGCCACCUCUCUGAAAGCCUCAUAGUGACAAUAACAAGUGGUAUUUACCUAAGAGCUAUAAACACACCAACUGUUCUCUCCUUGACUGUUUAGUCAUGUCAUUCAUAAUGAAUGGACUUUUCCAAUGGCAAACAGACAGAGAAGAAGAAAAACAAACAGUGUAUUCACGUAAGAUAGAGUCUGGGAUCCCUGCUGAAGCUGUGAAAACAGAGGACAUCUCUUAAAUUUGACCUGAGGACACUUCUCACCUUAAUGGGGGUACACGGGAUUCUGGGCCCAUGUUGGACUCUGUCCUGAGGUUCCCCGUGAGAGAGAAAGCAAAAAGUAAAGGAUGUGGCUAUCUGGCAUGUACAGGGGGAAAAGUGCUCCACCUAUUCAACAGCUGUUAGCUAUGUGUUGAUCACAACCCAGGCACCUAGCACUGCACCAGCUGCUGCCACAGUGCCCACGACAGAGUAAAGGCAAAGUCAAGUGACAGGUCCAAGUUCACAUGGCAGGUCAGUGUGAGAGCCCGCUUGACUUCCAGUACUACCUCACCAUGCUGCCUCCAUCCCUGAUGCCCAUUCUUUCUUUGGGAAGGAGAUAUCUUUAAGUCCCAGGACUGAAAAACAGGCUCAUGGAGUAAAAAAUCACACCAUUUUAGUUGGAACAACCCCAGUUCCAAAUCUCACACCUUCACUUACAAGCUGGGUGGCCUUGGACAACUGACUUAACUUCUUUAAGCCUCAGCUUCCUCAUGAACAAGCAGGCAUUCUAAGUUGGGACUUAUGCUUUGUGGGGGAGAAGCCCAAUAACCAGGUAAUGCAUGGCAGUGUGAUCAAUAAUAGAAAAAUGCAGGCAGAUGGAACUUGGGUUCCAGUCAUAGCUCCGCCAUUGAGUGGCCGUGGGCCCUUAGGCAAGUUUCUUAAACUCUCUUGCUUUGGUUUCUUCAUCUGUAAAUCAACAGGUUAGACCGGGUCAUCUCUGAGGUUGUUCCAAAUAGAAAGUUCCAGAAAUUUAUGAAAAUAAGUUUGGAUCUAGCCCAGCAUUUAUUUCAAUCUUUAUAAUUUUGUCAAACUAUUUAUUUAUUUUGAGAAUCAAUUAAAUUAUAUUUAUUAAAGUGACUUGUAAAUUCUUUCUAUUUUAUUUUUUAAUUGAGAGAGAGAGAGAGAGAGAGAGAGAGAGAAAGAGAGAAAGAGAGAUUUGUUGUUCUAUUUAUUUAUGCAUUCAUUGGUUGAUUUAGUAUGUGUGUGCCCUGAAUGGGAUCAAACCCUCAACUAUGGUAUACUGGGACAACUCUAACCCACUGAGCUACCUGGACAGGGCUAAAUUCUUUUUUCUAUUAAAUGAAUUUUAUGACUUUUGAAUUUCAAAUUAUACUCAAUGCCCCAGGGACCUGUUUAUUUUUGUGUUUUCAGCAAAAUACUACUUCCUGAUUCUAAGAAAGCUUACUCAAAGAAGGAACUUCAUUCAUCUGUUCAAACCUUCCUUCUUUGAGUAAGCUUUCUUAGAAAUAGGAAGUAGAAUUUUGCCCCAAACACAAGAUUCAAGACUCAUGAGAGGUACUGACUUUUCUUGAGUCUGAUUGGUCCCAGUAAUAAUAAUGGUGGAACCACACAUUGGAGUCUGUCCAGCCCCUGCAGCAGGAAUGCAUGCAUGUCCACAAAUAGCACUGGUCUUAGGGAGUAUUUAUGUGGUGUGUGAGUGGUGCAGAGUAAGGGAUUCGUACACAGAGAAGAGAAAGGUUAAUUUUUGGUUCCGACAACCAGGAAACUCUUCACAAAGGCGUGGGAUAGUCAUUGGCUCUGGAAGGAAAGAUGAAAUGAGACCAUGCAUAUACAGUGCCAGCAGCUACCGUUUGUUGAGCACUUACUAGAUGCCAGGGGCUCUAUUAAGGGUUUUAUAUAUGAUGCCCUUUUGCAACUUCACAACCACCUUGUGAAGUUGGAUAUUUGGUCUGUGACUGGCCACACGAGAAGCAGUCAGCACGUGGGAGUUGUCAUUACAUGGUUUUGCUUUUACAGAGACAUGGUGUUGGGUGGGCUGUGCCAGGUGACUGCUGCGAGCGCCCAUCAGUGAUGCUGGGCUGGACCCUCCGGGUGCUGCCUCUGCCUCAUUCUCUCGCUGGAGAAGAUACCACCACCACAGAGCGAAGUGCUUCUCCCAGUGAGCUCUCCCUGUCGGGGUUUUCUUCUCUCUCCAUCCAAAGAACUUGUGUUCCCCUCUUCAAUCUCAGUCCCAACGGAUGUUUGGUAGGCGAGAAGGCAAAAAGAAUUUCCAAAAAAUGCAUUAAAUUUUAAAUCAGAAAACUAACUAGACUUGAGCUCCAGUUCUCCCACUUUCCAGACAGAGAAUGGAUGUCCAUUUUUCACCAUUGAUGCGUGAAAUUCUUUGGCAAAUCAUCGAAUCUCUCCAAGCCUAACUUCCUAUAUCUGAAACAACUGGAAAGAGAAUGAAUAAGGAAUGAAAUGUUCACUGAGCACCUACUACACACCAGGAGAUUCACAUAAGCUGUCUCGACGUUUCAUCUCGUACCCUAUAAUUAUUGUCACAGUUGAUAAAAUGGAGGGUCGGGGGAGUUAAGAGACUCACCCGAGAUUAUAUGGCCAUGAAGAACUUGAAGGCAGGUUUUCUGAAACCAAGUUAUAUGUUCUUUCUAUUAUAUCAACCAGCAAUUUCAAAGGCUGCCCUAGAAUCGCCUCCCACCUGCCCCCCUGGAUAUAUGGAAGGACAAAAUCUCCUUUUUUCAUAGGUAAACAUCUCUUUGCAAAUUGCCCACUACAAUGGGGACAGGUACUUUUCAAUAAAGUUUCAAAGUCUAUCCUAUCUCCAUCCUCAGGAAACUUAGCACCUACCUUUUGUGGAUAAUUUGGAGUAAUGUGAGCCUCUGGCUUUUUCCUGAGAUUGUUUCUUCCCUAAAUCCAUAAGCUUGAAUGGACACAAAUACAGCUUUGGUCCCUGUAAGCAAACGCAGUGACAUAACCACAUGACUCACCCACCAGUCAUUUCCAGUGGCUUUCCAAAGCAUGGGCGUGGCAUGGCCCUGACCACCUGUUCUGUUAUUCUGUUUCCCUGGAAACUGGCUCUUAGGACAUACGUGGGAGGACUAGUCUACAUGUCAGUCACACACUGUGUCAUUCUGGUUGGGUAGAUUGGAGGAAGUGGGAGAGGGGGAUUCAUGACUGCUGGGAAAGAAGGAGAUCUUUUUGCUAGGAAAAUUGAUCAUUGGGCAACCAAUUGAUUUGCCAUAAAAUCUGUUGAGAGCCAGGUCCCUGAAACAUAAAAAGCGAUGAGUACAUGGGACCUUAGAGGCAAAACCAAGGUUGGAACACAUUGCCUGACCAGCAUAAGUGGUGAAAUAGUUGCUAUUAUGACUGUUUAGAAAAACCUGGAGUUCUGCCAUAGGUUUAAAACAUGGGUCUCUGCCAUUAAUCCUAUCUUUUGGUAAAGGACAUUGAAGUUGUUGAGAUUGAAAGGCACCUCUUUCCAGAUCUCCUAUCCCAUAUAUUGGGAAUUCCACCUUGAGUUUUUGUCUUUAGCCUAAAGCUUUUGAUCUCGUGAUCAAAUAUAUUAGCAGUUAACAUGUAAAUAGCCCAGGUAGGAAUAAUGCAUGAAAGCAGAGAUAGGCUUCACCGUUGUAAUACUUCAAUUGAUAAGAAGGAAAAAAUCGGGCUACUGUAUUGAGAAGAAUUCUAAGUUUCAGGUAGGAUUCAGGGGGAAAGUCACGGGGGCUGUGACUGAUUAGCAGUGUCCUUGAUAAGAAGUGAUAGGACAGAUACUUUGCAGACACAUUGGUUGACCCUCCAAGCGGUGCAUUUGUUUACUCAUUCAGUGGUGGUACCCAACUUGAUUUCUUAUCACUAUUGCUCCUCAGGGCACCUUUCACUCCCACCUGACAGUCACUAUUAUUGUAGUCUAUACCUUACCCAGCUAGUUUCUACUUGAUAUUUCUAAUCAGUCCAGCCCACAUCCCCGUUCAUGGAGCAGCAUUGGUAGCUUCGAUGGUCUAUUUCAGAUCCUGCUGGAAGGAAACAGGGGUAGGCCUCGCAAGACAGUGUUUGUAAAGUCUAAAGUUGUGUCCAGGAAUCUCCUAGGCCUUCACGUUCACUCAUCACUUACUCACUGACUCACUAAGAGCAACUUCCAAUCCUACAAAAUACACCCAUGGUCCUCAUCUGGAGCCCAAAAGUGUUUUUGGCUGUUGGUGACCUUGUGACCGUUGGCAAGGGGCUGGAUGUGGCGCUCGGUGUGAGGCGAAGGCUUGGUGAUGCCAGCACAUCUGGUGAAGCCAGCACUUCAAGGCACUCCUCAGACUCCUGGAAAUCCUCACCAGUAGAGAUGACUCAUGGUUUCGUAAAAAGCUGCUGAUCUCAUUAGUUUCAGAAACAAUUGCAUGACUGGGCAGGGCCUCUUAGUAGAUACAGUGCUGACUGGGGCCCCCAGAACAACACCUCCACUUCUCCGAAGGUGGUGAAAUAGCCAGAAACUGGUUCCUAUCCAAACCCUGGAAACCACCGUUGGUGAGGUCAUUCCAUACAUGCCAAGACCUUUAUGAGAUUACCAUCUGCAAGUCUGAAAAAAAUCACUUUUCCACCAAAUGUUCUAGAUGAUUGAUGGAGAAAAAAAUUCUCCAAUUGUGUCAACUGUCACUGUUAUUAUUAAAGGAAUAUGUGCUAUGUCAUACCUAUACACAUAUACACACAUUCAAAUUAUUCAGAUGGAGGAAAAUCUUAGUCUUCCAUAUUCAGUAAAAAAUGCCCUUCUGAACAACAAAAAGAUGAAAUAAAGGAAAAGAAAUCCUAAAACAACAACAACAUUAAUUCACAGACCCAGCGAUGAUCACUGUUAAAAAACUUUGAUUUUACUUUCCCUUCUGGUUUUUUUAAAUGAUUGUGAAAUAUUCUAGACAUAAAAAAAAUGUGGUUUUUUUCCUUAUUGAGAAAUAAAGAAUGACAAUAACAAAUACAGUUGGAGACCACUGGGUGCCCUACCCUGAGUCCUAUUACCUCCCUUCUCUUCUGAAAGAUAAUUAUACACUCCUGAAUUCUCAUGCUUAAUUUUAUUUUUUAAAAUUUUUUUUUUAUUGAUUUCAGAGAGGAAAGAGAGGGAGAGAGAAACAUUAAUGAUGUGAGAGAAUCAUUGAUUGGCUGCCUGCUGCACACCCACCACUGGGAAUUGAGCCCACAGGCCAGGCAUGUGCCUUGACCGGGAAUCGAACCAUGACCUCCUGGUCCAUAAAUUGAUGUUCAACCACAGCCAUGCCGGUCAGGCUCAUGCUUAAUUUUAUACUUUUGCUACCUAUGUAUCUACCCCUAAGUUGUAAGUAGCCAAGUUUUGCACAUUUUAAAACUUUAUGUAGGUGGUUUUAUGCUGUCUGUAACAUUAUGUAAUUUAAGUUUUACCAAUAUUCACAUAUGCUCCUCUCUUACCUUCAUUUUAAGUGCUAAAUGGUAUUCUAUAAUAUACAUACGUCUCAAUUUAUCCAUUCUUCUACUGAUAGAUAAUUAAAUCCUUUCCAAAUGUUUGUUCCUAUGAAAAAGCUGCACUUUUUUCUUGUGCACAUGUUGGAAUUUCUCCAGAAUUCUGUAUUGAAGAGUACGAGUGUCUUCUGUGCUCCGAGAUAAUGCCAACAUGUUUCCCAAAGCAGUGGUGUCAAUUUAAACCUCCCACCAGCAGGCGUGAGGGUCACCAUUGUUCAGUGUCCUCACAAACACUUGGCAUGCCUUUACUUUGAAUUGUUAUUGAUAUGAUGGAGGUGAAAUGGUAUCCCAUUGUUAAAAGUUACAUUCCACAAAAAUUAAUGAGGUUGAGCACAUUUUCACUUAUUUUUCAUCUUUUCAAUUUUUCUUUACUGCAAAUUGCCUGUUAAUAUACUUGUUCCAUUUUUCAUAACAUGGAUUUUUUGUAAACAUUUUUAGUAUACUCUGGAUAUGAACCAUUUGGCUAUAUAUUUUGUAAGUACCUAUACUUUGUACAUAGUUUGUCUUUUAAAAAAACCAAGAGUGUUUUUUAGAGCAGUUUUAGGUUCACAGCAAAAUUGAGGGGAAGAUAUGGAGAUUUUCCAGAUAUUCCUUGCCCCCAUACAUGUAUAGUCUCCUCCACCAUCAACAUUCUUUACCAGAGUGUAUACAUGUUCCAACUGAUGAACCUACAUUGACACAUCAUUAUCACCAAAGCCCAUAGUUUACCUUAGGGUUCACUCUUGGUGUUGUACAUUCUAUGGGUUUAGACAAAGGUAUAAUAGCAUAUAACCCUGAUCUUUUUACUGCCUCUUCUAGUGUUGCUUUUUCCAGAUGUCACGUACUUGGAAUCAUAUAGUAUAUCACCUUUUCAAAUUAUCUUCUUUCAUUUAGUAAGUGCAUUAAACUCUCUUCCAUAUCUUUCCAUGGUUUCAUAGCUCAUUUCUUUUUACCUCUGAAUAAUGUUCCAUUGUUUGGCUAUACCACAGUUUCUACAUGCACCCACUGAAGCACAUCUGGGUUGCUUCCAACUUUUGGCAAUUGUGAAUAAAACAGCUAUCAACAUCUAUGAGCAGGUUUUUGUGUAGACUCCUUUGAGUAAAUACCAAGAUACAUGAUUGCUGGAUCAUGUGGUAAAAAUAUAUUUACUUUGGUAAGAAAUUGCCAAACUUACUUCCAAAGUGGCUGUACCAUUUUGCAUUCCCAUUGGCAAUGAACGAGAGUCUCUGUCCACACCCUUACCAACAUUUGGUGCUAUUGGUGUUCUGGAUUUUGGCGAUUCUAAUAGGUUUGUAGUGGUAUCUUACUGCUUUAAUUUGCAUUGCCCUGAUGACUUAUGAUGUGGAGCAUCUUUACAUAUAUUUAUUUACCAUUCCUAUAUCUUCUUUGACUUGGACUUUGACCCAUUUUUAAGUCAGGUUAUUUGUUUUCUUAUUUUGUUUUAAGAGUUCUUUGUGUAUUUUGAAUAACAGUCCUUUAUCAGAUGGGUUUUUUGCAAAUAUUUUCUCCCAGUCUGUGACUUAUCUUCUCAUUCUUUUUUUUAAUUAAAUCUUUAUUGUUCAGAUUAUUACAGUUGUUCCUCUUUUUUCCCCCCAUAGCUCCCCUCCACCCGGUUCCCACCCCACCCUCUGCCCUUACCCCCCCCUCCACUGUCCUCAUCCACAGGUGUACGAUUUUUGUUCAGUCUCUUCCCGCACCCCCCACACCCCUUUCCCCCC